rnacentral:rRNA from 1 species
UACGUAGGGUGCAAGCGUUGUCCGGAAUUAUUGGGCGUAAAGAGCUCGUAGGCGGUCUGUCACGUCGGCUGUGAAAUCCCGAGGCUCAACCUCGGGUCUGCAGUCGAUACGGGCAAACUAGAGUAUUGCAGGGGAGACUGGAAUUCCUGGUGUAGCGGUGAAAUGCGCAGAGAUCAGGAGGAACACCGGUGGCGAAGGCGGCCUACUGGGCCGUCACUGACGCUGAGGCGCGAAAGCUCGGGGAGCGAACGGG